rnacentral:sRNA from 1 species
GCUGGGUAUGGUGGUGCAUGCCUGUAAUCUCAGUGGCUCUGGAGGCUGAGGCAGGAGGAUCACCAGUUCAAAGCCAGCCUCAG